rnacentral:ncRNA from 1 species
UUUCUUCGGGGCAGGGUGUAAUUCCCGACCGGCGGUGACAGUCCGCGAACCCGUUUGGCGGGUGGAAACGGUGAAAUUCCGUUGCCGACAGUAUAGUCUGGAUGAGAGAAGAA